UUAAGCUCAGGCUCAUGUUUCGGCUCAGACUUAGGCUUAGGCUUAGGCUUAGAACUAGG
rnacentral:sRNA from 1 species